rnacentral:lncRNA from 1 species
CUGGGGACAAGGGCGGGGCUAAGAGGAAUGAGAGAGCCAGGAAAGUCCAGGCCACGGGUGCCUCUUGAACCUCGUGGUUGAGGGGAGCAGAGUGUUGGGAUCAUCAGCAGACAUGGAAAGUCCUUCCAGCUCUACCCCUGUGUAUUUCCUAAUGAAUGUUCUCAGAUUUUAGGACUUACCUCCUAAAAUUUUCACUUGGUCUGAAGCAGAAGGCCCCAGGCUUCCUGUCAGGAGCUGCAACUUUUCAUCUGAUGAGGAGAUGAAGAGAUGGCGCAUCAGAGAAAAGUGACAAAGGUGGCAAAGGUGUGG